UACGAAGGGGCUAGCGUUGUUCGGAUUUACUGGGCGUAAAGCGCACGUAGGCGGAUCGUUAAGUCAGGGGUGAAAUCCUGGGGCUCAACCCCAGAACUGCCUUUGAUACUGGCGAUCUCGAGUCCGGAAGAGGUGAGUGGAACUCCUAGUGUAGAGGUGGAAUUCGUAGAUAUUAGGAAGAACACCAGUGGCGAAGGCGGC
rnacentral:rRNA from 1 species